GUGAGGCGUCACAGGCUGCCGAGACUCCUGGAAGAGUCCUGAUCGGCCUUAUAUGACAUUAGAUCUAAGAUGGCUCCCAGAACACCAGAGACACAGCAAAAGGAAUGGAGGUAGGGCAGAGGUUGCUUCUCCAGUCUUCACAGAAGGCCUAAUAGGUUAUAUUGCUCUCCCACCCACUCCUUCUAAGCAGCCUCAUCAGGAAGAGCUCUUAUUGGAGCAAGGUGGCGGCAUGAGGAGAUAUGAUUGGCGGAGGAUUUAAAGGCUUGGGAUUGGCUUAAACACUGUACUGUGUAAUGAACUCAGAUCUGCACCUUGAUGCUGAUCUCUGGAGUUCGGUUCCCAUGGUUCAUCGAGUGACUCCAUCACCUCUCACCCCCGCCCCAUCCUCUUUGGUUCUGUUUCCAUACAGAAUGGAGGAGGGUUGAGAUUAGAAAGACCGCGAAGGGCUUGGCCGUGUGUUUUGAGGGUAACUUUAGGAAGAAAACAUCAUACAUGACAUUUAUUAUAGCUCCUAUGAAAAUGGAUUACUGAACGGGAGGAAAUGACCAGAGAGAACAGUUAUCUAUAGCUGCCGAAGUCCAGGAAGAUGGGAAUGGCAGGUACCCACGCUGGAGGUACAACGAAUAGGACUUGAAUAAAUGUCAGGGAGGCAAGGGGAAAGGAAGAGCAAGGAGAUGCCUAAAUUAGACAAACGCUGGUGUGUGCUUGAGAUAACUGGUGCUACUAUAACAUAACACUAGAAGCUGGUACCUUAUGAACAACACAAAGCAGUCCCUCAGCGUUCUGGGGGCUAAGAAAGACAUAAAAGUCCCAGGAGCUUUGGCAUUUGGUAAGGGCACAUUCUAUGAUUUGUCAAAAGUUGUCAUCUUCUUGUGUCCUCCUGUGAAGGAAAGGGUGUGGCAGCUCCUUUCUUCCCUAUGGGGCCUUCCAAAUACUUCAUCUCCUAACGCCAUCACCUUAAAGUUAGAGGUAGAAUAUGAGUUGAAGAAGGAAUGGCCAACAUUCACAGCAGUGCCUUUCCUGAAACAGGGAAGACAGGGGAAGGGACUAACAAAGUAAGAGAGUGAUGGGUGGGAGAAACGAAUGUUAACCAGGAAGUUAAAGGCAGCAGUCAUAAUAGAAGAGAACUAGGGAGUAUUUAAUAAUAUCCAACAAAGACACAGCAUUUAAAUCUGUAUUAGUAGGUGAUGUUAAGAAUAAUAAAAUGAGAAGGACAGAAAGGGAACAGAGAAGCUCUGAACUGAGGUCUAAGCACUCUAACACACACAGGUCAAACAUCAGAGUAUGGAGAUCGAAUGGGUCUGCCCAUAUUCCUGUUAACCUGAAGAUUCCAGGAACCAAUGACCUUGAACAGUGCACGUUGCUGCAGCUUCCUAGUUCUCACAAUUCAGAGCCAUCUUUGGCCUUCCCCUAAAGAAUGCAGAAAAUUGGCAUUUGCACAAAAAUGUGUGUUUUCAGAACAAGGAUAAUAUAAAGCUGAUAUCCCCAGCAGUAAGCCUCCCAACUGCCCCCCAGGACAGUCUGAAUGAAAAAAUGAUUAUGUACUUAAUGUCCACUGAGCACCCCGGGGAGAAAAAGAGCAUACUAUAAUUGCCAAGUAUUAUUUUUACCAUUAUUAAUACAUGAAUCAUUCAUUAGAGGGGGAAAAGGAACUAGGAAUGGGAAAGUCGAAAGAUAAUAGGCUGUGUUUAUAAUGUUGCACAGAAGGAGCUGCCUACACAAAUCCCCUCCCAUAUACAUCCAGACACGCACAUGCUGAAUAUGUCCUCAUCGCAAAGACAACCCCUCAGCAGCCACCCAGAGGGCUGAGCAUUAGUGUCAGCUGAAUAUCUAUCUUGUGCCUCAUAUCUGUCUUUCUUGACCUUAGGCUGCCCUGGUGCAAGGUUCUGGUAGGGAGUCAGCUGCCUUAGUAGGAUAAAACUAUCUUACUAAGAGAUCAUCCUCAGAGAGGAUGGUAUUUUCAAAUGGAGUAAGUCAAUUUUAAGACAACGAAAGAAUUUACAGAUGUUUGGAUAGACUUUAAGGUUACCAUACAGAAGUGCCUAAACCUUGGAUUAUCUGUUAGAAUUACUUUUUCAUUUAAAACCCGAGGCUCUCACCACGAGCAAGGCAGUGAAACGAAAAGCACGACACGAAGGCAUUGGAGUAAAUGUUUAGAAACACAAAACGAAACAACUCCGACAUCAUUUUUAGACCUUUAUUUGAAUGAAAUAUUUAAAACCAACAGAUCUCAAUUUUAAAGCAUUCCAUCUCUGUGUAUUUUGUAAAGCGGGAAAAAAAAUCUACUUCUCUUAAACGAAACCUCAGGGCUUUGUGUAGACAAUGCCAAAGUAGUUGUUUUGGAAGGAAAACAAAACAAAACAGAUCUCUUUGGAUACCUCAGAUUGGAUUUUACGUCAAAAGAGUUGUGUUGAUGCUAAACCUGCAAGAAGGAAGACAAGGGAUUCUUAUGAAUAAGAACCGAGAGAACGCAGUGGCGCCAUAGUCCACUGCCACGACUGUUGCCUCUUUAAGGACAGUGGGGCGAGUGGGAGUGUGGAAGUGGCCUGGGUAAAUAAGUUCUUAAACUUCAUUUAAAUAUCAAGGUGCAGAGCUCUGAAGCUGAGUGUAAGUUAUUUAGAGCCUAGACAGUGACAACAGAGUCCCUCAAGCCCCAAAGAUGAGGUGCAUGGCUGCCUAUCCGACUAUCCCACCUGUCUGUUCUCUCUGUGUGCGCACUGUGGGUCCACAGAAGCUUUAUAAGCAACUGCUUGCCCUGUGAAAAACCCGCCCCCUCUCCCAACCACGCCUGUUCAACUCUCAGAGAUGUUUAGAAAGUAAACCGGAAGUAAAUGUUUCUGAGACAUCUUUUAUUUAGCCAGCGGGGGAUGGCUACCUAUAUUUAGUGGUAUUUUCUGAUCUACCAGUUCACAUGCUGAAGAUCUUCAAGAUUUCCUAACAAAGCACUCGUCUAGGACCUGGUGGGCUUGCUUCAACGGAUAUGGAUUUAUUUUCAUAUUUCUUCUGUUGUUUUGAUGGGAUUUGAAGGGAGAGAAGAGGAAAGCUGUUUGUUCAGUCAGCCAUCUUGAUUUAGAGUUGCUCACCUUUUAUCAGGGCAGGCACAGAGGGACAGAACUCCUGCCCUAGAUCCUUUAAAAAGUAAUUGUGAGAGACAUUUAGCAUGUUCAAAAGACUGGCAACCUGACCUACAUUCUUUCAGUAUAUUGAUUUGCAAAACCCAAGUCUUUCUUUACUUUCAUAUUUUCUUGUGCAUCAAUUCUUUAACAAAGGGAAAAUAGGAAAGGGAAAAGGGGCUACUCAGUGUAUCCACGUUUACACUCAAUUUUCUAAGCAUUAUAAGCACAGAGUAUUACUUAGGAGAUUAGGUUUUACCCUAAUGCAAAUUCAAAAUUGGGCUUUCCUACAAACAGAGAUUCUUUAUAUCGUUAUGUAAUUAAAGUGAGAAAUAAAACAAUGCAUGUUUAUAAAAUUAUUCGGUAAAAUAUACUACUCAGUAAACUGCACAUAAAGUCUACUCGCGGAAGAAAAGCCGUAGACGAAAGUCAUUACUCAUUUGAGACUCGGUAAUUGGAGCUGGUGGAAGAGCGUGCAAGCCAGUGCAUAUGUGUGCUCAGCCUCCAUGGAGAGCUUCUACCAAAGAAGUGUUGCUGCUCAGGGAUUUUUCUCACUGAAAUCCAAUGCACAGACUCCUAGCAAGACAAACGAAGGUUUGGUUACUUGCAGGAAUGUGUAAGGGCUAAUGGAAUAAAGGGAAACAGAACAGAGGAACAGAGGGAGUAACACAUAAUGGACUCUGGCUUCUCACGUGCCAACCAUCAUGCACCACGUCUGUGUGCCUUCCUUUUGAAGCAUACUUCUUUGACCCUCUUUCUUAGUACCAGUGCCCUUUUGUUGCUAAGCACCUGUUCAGAAAUCCUAUGCUAAUGCUUCCUCUGAGAAUCCCUCCCCAGUGACUUCUCCAUGUUCCUGACUUUUCCUUCUCUGUCCUCAUUAACCUACUUGAAUAAUUUUUGAUUUUUUUCAAAAAAAUACAUCUAACUUCUCCCCCACACCAAUUGAAUUUCUUCUGCUUAUCCUCCAUGCUAAUUUUCUCUUUUCCCAUUUAACUCCUCAUUUCAACUCAAAAUCAAAUAUUUUUUUCUGACAUAGUAAAAUCUAGGAUGCUAUCGUAUUGUCAUUCGCAGUACAGUGCUUUAAAAUUUUACCUUGUGCACACAUGUAUGUGAGUCCAUUAGCACAUUGAGUUCUCAGGAAAAUUUAUUUUAAAAAUUUACAAUGUGCUUUUACAUCCCAUUGAGUUUAAGGGAGAUAUUAUAAACCUGUGUCAAUGCUACAAAAACAGAAAAUGAAAAAGAGGAAGGAUUCGUCUAUCCUAGAGACACAGUCUUCUCUUAAGUGUCAGAGCUGGGGUAGAAGUGAUGCUACUGUAGGGUUCCCAUAAAACUCAUUGCAGGCAGACACUCAGGAGUAUGUACUGAAAAGUACAUUUGACCUAGCCCGUGUCUGGGCUUAAAUCUGACUGGCUGUGUGACUCUGAGUGAAUCUUCAGUCCUCUUUGACCUUCUGUUGUCUCUGUCGAGUUCCUGCAGUGCCUGUCACAAAGGAAGUGGGCUGUAAAGACAACAGUAUCUGUUACAAGCACAGCUCUGUAAAAACAUUAGACCUGAUAGACUGUUGUAUUUCAUAGCUUCCAAUGCAGCUUUCGCCAAGCAAAAGCGACUCCCUGGUACAGCUGUGUGUCAAUGGUGUUUCUCAGUUGCCCUGCAAUUCCUGUGGCUUUGAAAACUGUUGUUUGAAUUUCCAGGUGAAGAAGGGGAAGAUUUGGAUAUAUUCAAGAAUAAGUUGUUCAAAAUCUGCACCUAGACCAUGGGCAAAAUUCUAGUUAGUUACUGCUAAGACAGUUUUUUGUUCUCAACCCAAUUAGCACCAUAUGGCUAUGUCUUAUUUAGAACCCUCCACUUUGGCCCGUAGAGCAGAAGCGCAGAUCGGUGUCCACAAAAGGCUCUUCCUCAGGACCAGUGCGAAGUGCUUGGGAAAGGGUCAGCCAAUGUGAUAGUACUCCUUAAAAAACCUGAGAAAAUGGACAGCAUUGUUGGGAGCUUGUGAGCUCCUGUCACAGUACCGAGCUUGAACAAUGUCGAUUAAAGCCCCAUGCUUGAGACUGUCAUUAGACCCGCAUUAAAUUACAUAUCUGGAGUGUUAAAACAUAAAGAGUACAGUGGCUUUUUCGCAGCUACCUAAGACCUAUGCCCAAUAUUCACAUACUGGCGGCACAGGCAUCAUCAUCCAGAGGUUCCACUGAGAUCAGGAAAGAGAGGACAACCUGAUGGGAUCAUUCCAAAAUGUCGGCUAGCAAGGAAGCAGAACAUAUUGGGGACAAGCGACGACCACGGGGCAAAACUGGAAGUUCUUGAAUUUGCCAUUAAAAUAUCGGCUCUGAGGACAAGAUACCGAAAGACAUCCUCUCAGUUGAUGGGGGACAGCCACCGUUGAGAAAGUAGAUGAUCACUUUCUUCCUGACAUUCUGGCCUCUGGCCAUGAAUAUUGAAAGCUGUUAUCCUCUGGGGCUACUCAUUUCCUUCUCCAAGAGGCUUUAAUGCUUACGGCGUCUGAAACCAAAAUAUGGGCAGAGUGCCUGCAUUAACAUAGACAGUGCAAGAAAAGGUUCUGGAUGUCUGGGAGUAUCUCAGCCAUUCGAUAAAGAUAGCAGCUCUCAACUUGGGCACCAGUGUCAAGAUAUUUCGGAGUUUACAAAUGGUCCUAAGAGUGAUGUAAUUUCACAAGCAUUAAGGUGACUGAUGUUUCUCCCUAUUUUUUACUGUAAUAGCCUGUCCUGGCCUGAUGAGUUUGGAGUAACCUGCCUUGCUCAGGACAGAUAUUUGAUUGUAGAAAAAGACUUGUCCCCUAGCAAGCCUAGACAGCAUGUAGGUUUUUCCUGGGUUCUUUGCCCUGCUGACACAUAAUAUUCUUUCUGCUGGCAGCCUCAGUGUAUAUUUACUAAUCAUCCAAUGAAGAGCUGUGAUUUGGAUUUCCUGAAAUUCUAUUUUUAUUGAGGUGUGUCCAAAUAACAUACACGGUAGCAAUAUAACACAUUUGUAUGAGAAGUAGUUAGCUCCACGUAGGACCUCCAUGAGCUCCAAUGCUUUAUUUUUAAGGAUUAAGUAUAUACAAUUUGAAAAGAUUAUUUUAAACAUCAAUUUUCUAUUUUUCUUUAAAUAAGUUUUAUUUAUUUAUUCAUGUAUGAAUAUGUACAAGUGAGUAGAGAUCAGAGGGCAAUUUAUGGCAGCCAGGUCUCUCCUUCCAUAGGAGUUCCAUUGAAUUCUGGACCUCCAUUGUGGUAGCACCAGUCUUUGUCCACUGAGCCAUCCCAUCAGACCUCACAAAAUUGUUUUCACUGUGGUCCGCUGACUUACUAUGCUUUCAAGUGCCUCGUUGUCUUGGAUGCUUUAAGAAGUUGCCUUUCGGCUCACCUAGAGUUGAUCUCAUUAGUAAAAGAAUGAGUCCACAGAAAAGAGUUUCUAAAAUUAUCCUCUAGCUCAGAAUUGCAAGUUGGCUCUUUCAGUCUGCAGAUAAGUUUCUAACGCAUUAUGCUUAUGUUAUCAAGCAUUACACCUGACAUCCUCUCAUAAAUGCUGCAUGCAUUUUAACUUAUUUUAAUAUAGUGUGAGCUGGCUUGUAGCAUUCUCCUAUAGUUACUGAAGUUGAAUAUUCUCAGCCACAUAGUAAUGGUAGGAAUGCUCAUCUUGUCCCUAAAUUUUACUCAACUGGGGCACCAUCAGCUAAGGUUCCUUCCGAGUUUGUAUCUUGGUUACUUCUUCGUGUUUGUUGUAUGUUGGAACCAGACAUGCAGUUCCUCUAUUACUUCUAAGAAACCAUAAACAUACUUUGACAAAGCUGUAACCAGAGACACUUAACCACCUUUUGCACUGCAUUAUAGUCACAGGGCCAGGCUGCUCAGGUGAGCUGACUUUAGGAGGUGGUAGCGUGCGUAGCUUCAGAGGUCACUGACAUGGAUCAGGGCACACCUGUCACACAAGUUACUUUGAAGACAGGGAGAACCAGAUGAUUAUAGAGACCCGACCUGCGAUGGCUGUAUUUUCUAAAGGCUCACCUUGACUUGGGUCAAUGGUGCAAGCUUUACCCUUGGGACUAAAUAAGAACAAGUAGUUUUCUCAAGUAUCAGGUGCUGUGAUACCAAUCAACAAAUCAGAUGCUGAGUCUGUGAGAAAGCAGGAGGUCAGUGGCAGUGAUCAUCCCCUCAAUCCAAAUGAAAGUUGUUUAAACAAAAUGCAGAAAUUAAGAUAUUUCCUUAAUAGAUGCAUGCCAGGUCCAAGAAUGAGUACACAUGGACAGCUCGCUGGUUCUAGAUUUAUACAGCUCAAAAUGAUGUGAUGAUGCCAUAUGUUGGGAAGAUAACCCUGAAAAGAAAAACACCAUGGUCUAUAGCAGGUGACUCUGUUAAUAUUAAAACAAUGAUGAUAACCAUGUGGCUUCAAUACAUGCUCUCAAGAACUUGAUAGCACCAGGAUCAAGCUGAUGUAGGGGCAUGAAGUAUAAGUAUAUGCCAGAAGACCACAUGACCAAACAUAUUUCCUGGAAUGUUUUUAAAAAUAUCAAAAUAAAUGCAAAGAAAUAUUCAGUAAAAUAACAGAAUUUUAAUACAUAUGGCUAGUAUUUGUUAUUUGGUUCCUCCCCCAACUUUCCUCCCACUUAGGUCCAAGGUCCACAUUCAUUCUCUCUCUCUCUCUCUCUCUCUCUCUCUCUCUCUCUCUCUCUCUCUCUCUCUCUCCCUCCUUCCCUCCCUCCAUCCCUCUCUCUCUCCCCCAUUAGAAUACAAACAGAUGUCUAAGAAAUAAAUUGGUAGACUAAAAACAGAUAAAUGAGCGAAAGAACAUCAAGCAAAUAAACCACCAAUAACAACAGCAACAACAACAAAAGAGACAAAGAAGUCACAAGAAACACAUACCUGAGGAGAUACACAAUUUCACACACGCAGUGAACCCAUAAAAGCACAACACUGGUAACAUAAUAUGCAUGCAAAAGACCCGUGAAAUAAUAAUAAAAAUAAUUCCCAGACAAAGCAUUAUGAGACAAGAAACCUCCAAAAAUGCCAGUGAGCUCCUUUUGUGUUUUCCAUCUACCAUUGGGCAUGGAAUUUCUCCUUAAGAGUAGUUAUACCCAGUGAGACUCCAGUAGAGAAAAAUAUUUUUCUUUUGCAAGUUAUUAACUAGAGAUAGAUUCUGGGCUAAGGAUGGGGCUUCUCUCAGGGCUAGGACCCCAUCUCUAUUAGAAUCCUUCAGUCUCAGUAUAUCCUCCCACAUUCUCUUUGUGUUCAUAUGUGUAUCAUCUGUCCUGUGUUUGGAAGUCUUUAAUUUCUCGGUGUGCUCCAUCCCCCCUAGCUUUUAAAAUCUUUCUGCCUCCUUUCUUCUUAUGGUUCCUUGAGCUCUGAGGGGAGGGAUUUGAUGUAGACACCUCAUGUAGGACUGUGUAUUCCAUGGUCUCUCGCUUUGUGCACAUUGUUCUGUUAUGGGGCUGGAUUUGUUUCCAUCUACUGCAAUAGGAAGCUUCCUCUGAUGAUUGAUCUAUAAAUAUAGCAAAAUUUCAUUAGACGUCAUUUUAUUCCUGUACCACUUUAGAAGAACAGUAGGGUUUGGGGUUUUCCCUUGAUCCCUGUCCCACCUAGUCUCAGGUUCUUGGCCACCUGAGCACUGUUGUGUAUAGGUUCCAUCUCAUGGACUCGGCCUUAAAGCCAGUCAAAUACUGGUGGUCACUCCCACAAGCUUUGUGACAUUAUCGUAAAUAUAUAUUGCAAGCAGGUCAGUAUUGUAUCUGGGUUGGUAUUUACUUUUCUCCUCUGGCAGUGUGCACAGGACCUUACAGCUCCAGCUUCAUGAACACUGGUCAGUAGGCAGGCACCAGCUCCACUUCUGUGUGUCAGUGACUUGUGUAGGUGUCUCUUGCAAUAGGAGCUUUGGCGGUUUGAGUAAGAAUGGACUCCAUAGGCUCAUAUAUCUGAAUUAGGGUCUGAGGUGUCUCUUUAGAGGAAGUUUAUGUCAUUGGUGGUAGCCUUUGCGGUUUCAAAAGCCCAUGUGAACAUGAUUUUCUCUGUCCCCACCUUUCACUCUGUCUCUCUGUCUCCAUCUCUGUCUCUGUCUCUGUCUCCGUCUCUGUCUCCCUCUCUCUCUCUCUCUCUCUCUCUCUCUCUCUCUCCCUCUCUCUCUCUCUCUGUGUGUGUGUAAAUCAUGAGUUAAAGCUCUCAGCUACUGCUCCAGCACCUACCUGCAUGCCUCCAUGCUCCACACAAUGAUAAUAAUUGACUAAACUUCUGAAACUGUAAGCCAGUCUCCUUUGUUUUCUUAUAUAAGAGUUCCUUUGGUCAUCUUUUUCCAGCAAUAGAGCAGUGACUAAACCUGGGUCCCGAAUAGUCAAGUUAGUUAAGGGACAGCAAUCAACAGACUUGUCUACAGUCUGGGUUGUUUUGGGUAUCCAUGGAGCCUUUUUGGCCAGAAACUCGAUUACAUAUACCCCAUUCCUACAACUGGAGGUUUCAUUUGUUGAUGAGAAGUGUCUAGCUGGGGCUUUGUCUGGCCCAUCAUUUGGUGAUUCCAAUUUUAUAUAGAUAUGUGUUUCUACUGUUAAUUAGGUUUCCAUAUGACUCCUGAAAUGUCCCUCAGUACCAUCUCUUGUUCCCUGUAUUGCUUCCUUGAUCCUUCUUUUCCCUUCCUCUCCUUGUUUAAUCCUCCCAUUCUAGUCUUCAGAACCCUGCCCCCACCCCUCAUCCAUAACUGUCUCUUGUAUUUUCCUUCCUAGGGAAGUCUCUCAUCCCUACUCACAUAACCUAACCUUCAUGAUUAAAUGGAUUAUAGUCUAUUGAAGGCUUAACAGCUAGAAUCUACAUAUAUGUGAAGUCAUACUAUCUUUGUUUGGGUCUGAGUUAUUUUACUCAAGAUAAUUUUUCUAGCUCCAUCCAUUUACUUCAAGAUUUUAUUGUUUUAGUAGCUGACUUGUAUUUCAUUGUGUAAAUAUUCUA